GACGAACGCUGGCGGCGUGCUUAACACAUGCAAGUCGAGCGGUAAGGCCCUUUUCGGGGGUACACGAGCGGCGAACGGGUGAGUAACACGUGGGUGACCUGCCCUCAGCUCUGGGAUAAGCCCUGGGAAACCGGGUCUAAUACCGGAUAUGACUCCAUGACGCAUGUUGUGGGGUGGAAAGCCUUGUGCGGCUGAGGAUGGGCCCGCGGCCUAUCAGCUUGUUGGUGGGGUGAUGGCCUACCAAGGCGACGACGGUAGCCGGCCUGAGAGGGCGACCGGCCACACU
rnacentral:rRNA from 1 species